GGGAUUUUGAAAAGUUCAGAGGUACAUACCUGAAGAACCUAAAAGAAACAUUUACAUACGUUCGAAAGGUAUAUCGAAUUGCUUAAAAUUGAUCCUACGAUUUUCUCCUUAUCAUUAGAUUUUAGUGCAUAUUACGUACUUUAAUAUAAGGUCUAAAGAAGGAAGAGAACUGAGGGAAGGUGAAGUGACUCUUUUGAGUCGGCAAUGGUGCAAAAGUUGCACU
rnacentral:lncRNA from 1 species